UGGCCGAGUGGUCCAAGGCGCUGGUCUGAGGCACCAGUCAGAAGGGACGUGGGUUCGAAUCCAGC
rnacentral:tRNA from 1 species